AUAUUUAUUCAUGAAACUUUGACAUAGGCUAUCCAUAUGUCAUAACGAAUAUUUAUUCAUGAAAUUUGACAUAGGUUAUCCAUAUGUCAUAACUAAUAUUUAUUCAUGAAAUUUGACAUAGGCUAUCCAUAUGUCAUAACUAAUAUUUAUUCAUGAAAUUUGACAUAGGCUAUCCAUAUGUCAUAACUAAUAUUUAUUCAUGAAAUUUGACAUAGGCUAUCCAUAUGUCAUAACUAAUAUUUAUUCAUGAAAUUUGACAUAGGCUAUCCAUAUGUCAUAAUAUAUAACAUUAUUCCAGAAUUACAAAAGCAUCUAUAAUGCUUGUCAUGCAUAGCAUGAUUAUACAUAUGGCUAUAAUAUAUUAUAUUGAUUUCUCGUUGUCAUGAUCAAUCGAGAAAAUCUGCGAUAUCAAGAUGAUUAUCAUCAUCUUGGCCUUUAAAGGAAGGUCCCGGCUCAUCACAGAUGAGAUUAGUUUCAACAUCCCUUUCUUUUGCUUUUGUGAGGCUUUAUACAGAUCGGCUAAAUGUUUUGGUAUACGACACGUCUGGUACCAGUGUCCUUUCAUGCCGCAUCUGUGGCAAGUGCUUUCAACAUGCCUUUUCUUAACACGACCAACAUUAUUUUUGUUGGUUCUUUCCGUGUUAAAAUCAUUGGGAUGGAAACUUCUUCUUUUUCCUUGGCCACGAUCACGACCUCUCCCACGACCACGACCACGGCCUCGACAAGGUCCGGGUCCUCGCCAAUUAUCAUCACCGGAUGUAGCAACAUUCACUUCUAAAAGUGGAGCUGAUCCAGGUGGGCGAGAUAAAUGAUUCAUCAUCACGAGUUCAUUAUUUUGUUCAGCAACCAAAAGGACUUGCAUCAACUCGGAAUAACGAGUGUAUCCUUUGGCCCGGUAUUGCUGUUGAAGGAUUACAUUUCCAGGAUGAAAAGUGGAGAGCGUUUUUUCAAUCAUAUCAUAAUCGCUCACUUUUUCACCACAUAAUAUCAUCCUGGAGGUGAUUCCGAACAUGGCGGAAUUAUAAUCACCAACACUUUUGUAAUCCAAAAACCGGAGAUUUAGCCAUUCAUGUCUGGCUUUUGGCAAAAUCACAUAUUUUUGAUGAUCGAAACGAUCUUUAAGUGAUUGCCAUAGAUCCACAGGAUCUUCUCUCGUGAUGUAUUCAUUUUUCAAAUUGUCGUGGAGAUGGUGGCGUAGAAAUACCAUGGCUUUAGCUUUGCUCUCAUCUGAUGUCGUUUCAGAUGCAUCUAUGGUGCUGAGAAGCCCAUUUGAUCUAAGAUGCAUCUUAAUAUCUGAUGCCCAUGACAUAUAAUUUUUACCAGAUACAUCAAGGGCAACGACAUCGAGCUUAGCUAGAUUUGACAUGAUUAUCUAUAUAAAU
rnacentral:sRNA from 1 species